GACAUUGGAUUGACAGUUCGCUUAAGGAACAUUGGAAUGACAGUUGGCUUCUAUGGAAGAGAAUGUGAGAGAGUUCCAUACAAAUUCUCUCACAUUCUCUCCCAUAGAAGCCAACUGUCAUUCCAAUGUUCCUUCUAUCUCGCCACAGGCGUACCAACUUAUCAUUUC